UACGUAGGGUGCAAGCGUUAAUCGGAAUUACUGGGCGUAAAGCGUGCGCAGGCGGUUGUGCAAGACAGAUGUGAAAUCCCCGGGCUCAACCUGGGAAUUGCAUUUGUGACUGCACGGCUAGAGUGUGUCAGAGGGGGGUAGAAUUCCACGUGUAGCAGUGAAAUGCGUAGAGAUGUGGAGGAACACCGAUGGCGAAGGCAGCCUCCUGGGCCAAUACUGACGCUCAUGCACGAAAGCGUGGGGAGCAAACAGG
rnacentral:rRNA from 1 species